CCCCCCCCUGGAUGGGGGAUGGGACCUCAGGCCGAGGCCCGCCCCUGCCCCGGAGGCCUGCCUGGCCCCCUUGAAAGCUUUGUGCCAACAGAGAGGUUCCCGUCCAGACCCAGGAGGGCGGAAGGAGAGACUGGGCCUGGGUGCCGAGGCCGGAAAGACACCUGCCUGCAGAGCCGGGCGAGGGCCACGGGUGUCGGAAGACUCUGUGCUCCCGCAGCACCGCCCAGACAGCCCGGCCUCGGCUCCUGACUCUCCACAACCGCGAUGGAUGUUUGCAGGAACCCAGCCAGCGUCUGCCUCCCCGCACUUGAUGUCCACUGCACCUGCUUGCACUUAACCUUCGGAGAAGACCCUUCAAGUGGAGGACACACUCAGGAGCCACGCCCAGCUCUGCCUGAGAAGCCCGGCUGGCCUCACUCAGCCUGAGGCUGGCCUCCUAUGCAGCCGCUUUCACGCCGAGACCCCGAGGGAAAAGCUGAGGAACGGCGUGGCAGCCGGGAGGAGGCCCUGACUUACCCAUUUCCAGUUGCUUGUCCCUUAUCGAGUUGGCAGAACCGAGACGUGUGCCAUGUCGCUCCUCUGGCCAGAAAUAUAUUUUUGAAAAUA